GACAAGUCAUAUGGAUUCCUACGGGAGGCAGCAGUGGGGAAUCUUGCACAAUGGGCGAAAGCCUGAUGCAGCAACGCCGCGCGCGGGAUGAAGGCCCUAGGGUUGUAAACCGCUUUCAGUAGGGAAGAUAAUGACGGUACCUGGCGAAUAAGCCACGGCUAACUACGUGCCAGCAGCCGCGGUAAUACGUAGGUGGCAAGCGUUGUCCGGAUUUACUGGGCGUAAAGAGCGCGCAGGCGGUCGUUCAAGUCGCGUGUGAAAGCCCCCGGCUCAACUGGGGAGGGUCACGCGAUACUGAUCGACUCGAAGGCAGGAGAGGGUAGUGGAAUUCCCGGUGUAGUGGUGAAAUGCGUAGAUAUCGGGAGGAACACCAGUGGCGAAGGCGACUACCUGGCCUGUUCUUGACGCUGAGGCGCGAAAGCUAGGGGAGCAAACGGGAUUAGAUACCCCGGUAGUCCUAGCCGUAAACGAUGGACACUAGGUGUUGGUGGUAUCAACCCCGCCAGUGCCGAAGCUAACGCAUUAAGUGUCCCGCCUGGGGAGUACGGCCGCAAGGCUAAAACUCAAAGGAAUUGACGGGGCCCCGCACAAGCAGCGGAGCGUGGGGUUUAAUUCGACGCAACGCGAAGAACCUUACCAGGGCUUGACAUGACCAGGAUCGCGGCGGAAACGUCGCCUCCCCGCAAGGGGCCUGGCCACAGGUGUUGCAUGGCUGUCGUCAGCUCGUGUCGUGAGAUGUUGGGUUAAGUCCCGCAACGAGCGCAACCCCUACUGUGUGUUGUAUCACUCACACGGGACUGCCGAGAGAAACUCGGAGGAAGGCGGGGAUGACGGCAAGUCAGCAUGGCCCUUACGUCCUGGGCUACACCCACGCUACAAUGGCCGGUACAACGGGCUGCGAAACCGCGAGGUGGAGCGAAUCCCUUAAAGCCGGUCUCAGUUCGGAUUGUAGGCUGCAACUCGCCUACAUGAAGCCGGAGUUGCUAGUAACCGCCGGUCAGCAUACGGCGGUGAAUAUGUUCCCGGGCCUUGUAAU
rnacentral:rRNA from 1 species